rnacentral:rRNA from 1 species
CUUAUGCGUUGUUGGGUAGGGGAGCGUUCUGUAAGCCUGUGAAGGUGGCCUGUGAGGGUUGCUGGAGGUAUCAGAAGUGCGAAUGCUGACAUAAGUAACGAUAAAGCGGGUGAAAAGCCCGCUCGCCGGAAGACCAAGGGUUCCUGUCCAACGUUAAUCGGGGCAGGGUGAGUCGACCCCUAAGGCGAGGCCGAAAGGCGUAGUCGAUGGGAAACAGGUUAAUAUUCCUGUACUUGGUGUUACUGCGAAGGGGGGACGGAGAAGGCUAUGUUGGCCGGGCGACGGUUGUCCCGGUUUAAGCGUGUAGGCUGGUUUUCCAGGCAAAUCCGGAAAACCAAGGCUGAGGCGUGAUGACGAAGCACUACGGUGCUGAAGCGACAAAUGCCCUGCUUCCAGGAAAAGCCUCUAAGCAUCAGGUAACAUCAAAUCGUACCCCAAACCGACACAGGUGGUCAGGUAGAGAAUACCAAGGCGCUUGAGAGAACUCGGGUGAAGGAACUAGGCAAAAUGGUGCCGUAACUUCGGGAGAAGGCACGCUGAUAUGUAGGUGAAGCGACUUGCUCGUGGAGCUGAAAUCAGUCGAAGAUACCAGCUGGCUGCAACUGUUUAUUAAAAACACAGCACUGUGCAAACACGAAAGUGGACGUAUACGGUGUGACGCCUGCCCGGUGCCGGAAG